CAGUAGCCGCGGUAAUACGUAGGUGGCAAGCGUUGUCCGGAAUUAUUGGGCGUAAAGGGCUCGCAGGCGGUUUCUUAAGUCUGAUGUGAAAGCCCCCGGCUCAACCGGGGAGGGUCAUUGGAAACUGGGAAACUUGAGUGCAGAAGAGGAGAGUGGAAUUCCACGUGUAGCGGUGAAAUGCGUAGAUAUCGGAAGGAACACCAGUGGCGAAGGCGACUCUCUGGCCUGUAACUGACGUUGAGGAGCGAAAACGUGGGGAGCGAACAGGAUUAGAUACCCGUGUAGUCCCUGUCUCUUAUAC
rnacentral:rRNA from 1 species